CUCACACCUGGGUGAACUUCUCUAGGAGGCUGCGCAUAAAAUCAGAAGUGGAAUUGCUGGACAGAGGCAGGAUUGGGUUCCUCCAGGCAGAUACGUCAGAAGGACAAUGUGCAGAGUGUAUUGGUGAGAGAUGGACUGAGGUAUUGACCAUGUGACCUGACUGGAUAAAGAAUUAAGUCAAGACAGCAAAAGGCUGAUAAUAUUCAGAGAAAACGCUAUCACUUUGCUCUGUGCCUGGUGCUGGAGACAUUGAAAUAAAAGAUACAAGUGCUGCCCACAGGAAACUCACAGACCAGUGCGGGGAGAAGGGGGCAGGCCUGUGAGCCCAUCUACAGAACAAAAUGCCCCCCGGUGAGGCUGCUCAGUGGGGCUCCCUGAUCCACAGAAGACCUGGGGGCUCCAGGAAGGAUGAGGGGACCAAGAAGGGACCUACAUUCUAACCAGGGCAGGCAGCAGAUGUGGCAGGAAGGGGAAGGGCUCUAAGUACCCCUGCUCCUGCACAGAAAUCCACUUGCCUGAGAAGUUGUGGACUAAGGAAAACUAAGGACUUUUCCAGACGAAAACUGGCUGAAGAGACCUGAGAACUUGAUGCAAAGCAUGAUCCCAGAUUGGACCUGGAUUGUGGGGAGACGUAGUUCACAAGGGACUGUUUGGGGCGAUUGGCAACGUGUGAAUAUGGACUAUGGAUUGGAAAACAGCAUUGGAUGAACGUCAGAUUUCCUGAUUUUGCUUGCUGUUCUGUGGCUACAUAAGAGAACAUUCUUGUUCUUAAAAAAUACACACUGACGUAUUUAGGAAGUAUUCAGGAACAUGAUGUCUGCAACUCACUUUUGAAUAGUCCAGGAAAAUACAUACGUAUAUUAAAUAUGACAGGGGAUGGAGAAUGAUAACACAAAAGGGGGAAAAUAUUAACAGUUGGUGAAUCUGGAUAAAGUGUUCCUUGAACAUGAGUUCUUUGAACUAUUCUUGAAACUUUCAUGUAAAUUGGAAAUUAUAUCAAUUUAAAGCUUAAAAAGAAACAAAGGCAAGCCCAGGGUUGGAUUCCGUGGAUCGCAAACUCAGGGUGAGAAUAAACCAAACUUUGUGAGGUAGCAACAGAACCAAUACUGGAUUUGUUUAUUUUUUAAAAGUCAUCAUCUAUGGAAGGUUGACUUAAUGUAUCCUCCAAAUAUUAAUAGUUACUGACAAUCACGUGUUUUUGUUUAUGCUAUCAUUUUAACAGAGUUUACGUUACAUAUUGAUUAUUGACCAAAGGCUUCCAGAAUGAGGAUCACCUGGGAGCAAUUUUCCCUGAGCGUCCUCGUUUGGUUAUGCAAACUUACAGCAGCAAGGAGAAUCUCAUUGCUUUUGGAGAGGGUGCAACAUACAUGUGCGCUGUGUGGCUUGAUGAAAGCUGGCCCUCCUGGGACUCCUUGGUAUGUGGAGCUUUAGGGAGGGGAAACCAUUUCACAUAAGCAGCCAAAAGCCUUGGGAGGGCAGGGACUACAGACAUUAAAAGCUGAGAAAACCUGGCAGGGUGACAGGAAAGGACAAGAACUCCAAGGGCGAAGGCAAACUUAUCCGGGGGAGGAGGUCUGGGUUUAAUGCAAGAGCCUAAGGCUAUGCUGUGUAUGGAAAGGGGGUAGAGACUCUGCAACAGCAUGGAGCUGGACCAGCAGCCCUCUGGACCAACCAUGGCACCGAGUCAUGCCUGCGGAACGGUGCCUGAGCAUGUGUGAGGUUGGGAGCUGUUGUCUUGAAGUCCAGCCUAUGACACCUCUGCAGCGGUCUGGGUGGAGCCACAGGAGCAAGGGCAUCACCUCAUGAGCAGGCAAAUGUCCCUUGGGCUGAGUCAGUCCAGGCAACAGCAACCUGUUCGGUGUCUCUAGAACACAGUGGUAGUGGCCAACAUAGCCCCUUCAGUUCUCUCCCAGCCUGUGUUUAGAUGAAGGACUAAGGCUUUUCAAGCUCUCAUGGUUCUUCACAAUUUGAGGGGGAGGCCUCCGACAGGAAACACUGCAUAUUAAUUGGUGAAAUUUAAAAAAAGAUGUAUUGAUAUCAGGUGGUAGGUGAUCUCCGAUGUGGUCACUAUCAGUUCCGUCUUUCCCUUUCCCAGCAACGGGUGGAGUGUAUUUCCCCUCCGUUGGCAUUUAGGCUAGCCCUGCCUGUGACUGCGGUGGAACCAAACGUGGUGGAACUUCUGAGCCUGGGUCUUAAGGUCUGGCAGCUUCUGCUUUCUUCCUCUUGGAACAUGCACUCUGUGUUGGUUGCUGACUCUUGAAAUCCACUGCCCUGCCAUGAGAAGCUCAGUCCAGCCACACAGGGAGGUGGUGUGGAGGAGAACUGACUCCUGGCAGAAGGCCAGCGCCCACUUGCUAGCUAUGUGACGGAGGUCAGUUUGGACCUUCCAGCCACCCCAGCACCCUGGCCAAUGCCACAGGAAGCAGAAGAACCCCUCGGUCAACCAUUGUGACUCACAGGCUCCUGUCCACCAUGCCCAGGCUGGGCUGCUCCUGGAACACCGUGCAGCCUGGAAGAGUGGGGGUCCCCACAGGCCCCCGGCCUCCGGGCUGGGUGGGCUUCUCAGAACCACCCAGCAGCACUUGUGAGUUUCACUAUUCUGUGCUGCAUGUAUUUCAAACCUUCCCACUCUAGAAUUCUCUGACUGUCCCCUCACCAGCAGCAGGUGACUGCAUCACUUAUUUCACCAAGAACAUAGAGGUCAUCAGGAUGAAACACUUCAAACUUCUUGCUGGAAAUCCUCCGACUUCACCUGCACUUUCUCCCUCCUAGUCUCAUUCUCAUCAGACACGUGGCAAAGGCGAAUCGCGGCCCACCCCUGAUCCCCUCCACAAAGACAUCGCUCCGUCAGCUUUGCCCCCCUCUUCCAUGUCUCCCCUCUGUAGCUCAAGCUGUUGGAUGAAAUCCUUCCCUCAGUCUCUCCGGCAGCUGCCGCAUCUCUGCCCUCCUCUUCACAGCUAAACUUAAAGCUGUCUAUUCCUCAACCCACUGGCGUCAGACAUCCGUCUUCCCCAUUCCUCUAAAGCUCAUCACCCCACAGCCACUUGUUAAACCCACUGGAGGUUCUCAAGGCCUCCCGCAUUCUCGCUGCUCAGCCGCACCAGACACCAUGACUGCCACUUGUUUCCUGAAAGGCUCUAUUUUCUGCCUUUCCAGAACACAACCCUCUCUUAGUUUUCCUCCUACCUCUCUGACGGUUCCUUUCACAGUCUUUCCUUCACCUGUUUCUAAAAGGUUGUUUUUUGCCUUGGCUUCUGGCCCUUUCCUCUUGUCUCUUGUCACACCUUCUUGGCACCAGGCCGGGUUGGAGUAAUAGGGAGAGGUGGGG
rnacentral:lncRNA from 1 species